UGCCCUGCCCUGCCCUAGAGUUAGUCUCUGCCUGACUCUGGCUUGCUCAACAAAUCCUGCCCUGUGCACCCUCCACUCCAGCCCUAUGCGACCAGAAAGUGAAGCGCCUCGUGCCUGGCUUCCAAGUUAUGGGACCGUCUCACACACAGCAGAGUGGAGGAGGAAGGGCAGAAGGAUGACGGAGGGUUAAAGAUGAGUAAACCAGAUUUACCUGGGGCCAGAACCCAAUCGCCCUAUGGCCACACCAAGAAGGAUGACCGUCUCCUGCAUCAUUAAGGGGGUAAGCUGUGAAUCUGGAAUAACAGCCCUUGGCCGGGCUCUGAGAUAACACUGUAAGUAUAAUACAAAUUCAUUCAAUGAGCUCAUUGAACAUCUACUGUGUGCCAGGCACUGCGGUAGAAAAUGGGAGUAAACCGUGAGUAAGACAUAGUCUCUGCCCUCAGAGGUCCCGCAGAGCAGUGAGGGGAACAGACAAGAAAAGACACCGACACCUUGACACCUAUGCCUAUAACAAUGAGUGCUCCCUCAGUACCAGGUACGUGCCUGAAGGUGUCCACUUAUUAUUUCACAUAGUACUGAAAUUGACCUGGGGAGGCGGGUAAUAUUAUUCUCAUUUAAUAGAUAAAAGAGGUGAGGCUAAGAGAAUUUUACUUGCCCAAGAUCACACAACUCGGCUGGUGGCAGAAUAAAGAUGUGGACUUGGCCUUGUCUGGCUCCAGCUGUGAUCUGGCUAUCCCCCUCAUGGUUUGUUAGAAACAUGUCUUGGUUCUUCUUCCCUGCCUUGCCCCUGCUGCAGAAACUCUUGGU